GACGAACGCUGGCGGCGUGCUUAACACAUGCGAGUCGAACGGAAAGGCCCUGCUUUUGUGGGGUGCUCGAGUGGCGAACGGGUGAGUAACACGUGAGUAACCUGCCCUUGUCUUUGGGAUAACUUCAGGAAACUGGGGCUAAUACCGGAUAGGAGCUCCUGCUGCAUGGUGGGGGUUGGAAAGUUUCGGCGGUUGGGGAUGGACUCGCGGCUUAUCAGCUUGUUGGUGGGGUAGUGGCUUACCAAGGCUUUGACGGGUAGCCGGCCUGAGAGGGUGACCGGCCACAUUGGGACUGAGAUACGGCCCAGACUCCUACGGGAGGCAGCAGUGGGGAAUAUUGCACAAUGGGCGGAAGCCUGAUGCAGCAACGCCGCGUGCGGGAUGACGGCCUUCGGGUUGUAAACCGCUUUCGCCUGUGACGAAGCGUGAGUGACGGUAAUGGGUAAAGAAGCACCGGCUAACUACGUG
rnacentral:rRNA from 1 species